AUUGAACGCUGGCGGCAGGCCUAACACAUGCAAGUCGAGCGGUUGACGGGAGCUUGCUCCCUGAUUCAGCGGCGGACGGGUGAGUAAUGCCUAGGAAUCUGCCUACUAGUGGGGGACAACGUUUCGAAAGGGACGCUAAUACCGCAUACGUCCUACGGGAGAAAGCAGGGGACCUUCGGGCCUUGCGCUAAUAGAUGAGCCUAGGUCGGAUUAGCUUGUUGGUGAGGUAAUGGCUCACCAAGGCGACGAUCCGUAACUGGUCUGAGAGGAUGAUCAGUCACACUGGAACUGAGACACGGUCCAGACUCCUACGGGAGGCAGCAGUGGGGAAUAUUGGACAAUGGGCGAAAGCCUGAUCCAGCCAUGCCGCGUGUGUGAAGAAGGUCUUCGGAUUGUAAAGCACUUUAAGUUGGGAGGAAGGGUUGUAGAUUAAUACUCUGCAAUUUUGACGUUACCGACAGAAUAAGCACCGGCUAACUCUGUGCCAGCCGCCGCAGUAACAC
rnacentral:rRNA from 1 species